rnacentral:rRNA from 1 species
GAUGAACGCUGGCGGCGUGCCUAAUACAUGCAAGUCGAACGCUGAAGCAGGAGCUUGCUUCUCUGGAUGAGUUGCGAACGGGUGAGUAACGCGUAGGUAACCUGCCUGGUAGCGGGGGAUAACUCUUGGAAACGAUAGCUAAUACCGCAUAACAGUAUAUAUCGCAUGAUAUCUACUUGAAAGUUGCAAUUGUGUCACUACCUGAUGGACCUUCGUGGUAUUAGGUAGUUGGUGAGGUAACGGCUCACCAAGGCGACGAUACAUAGCCGACCUGAGGAGGGGGACGGCCACAGUGGGAGUGAGACACGGCCCAGACUCCUACGGGAGGCCGCAGUAGGGAAUCGUCGGCAAAAGGCGGGAGUCUGACCGAGCAACGCCGGGUGGGUGAAGAAGGGUUUCGGAGCGUAAAGCUCUGUUGUAAGAGAAGAACGAGUGUGAGAGUGGAAAGUUCACACUGUGACGGUACCUUAACAGAAAGGGACGGCUAACUACGUG